AGCUCUUCCUACCCUUGCAAAUGCUGCCAAAAACAGUGUUGAAUGGGUUCUUGGUAUGCUUGGGAUUAGUUUCGCUAAGAGAACAAAGCUCAAAAUCCUUAAAGAUGCGUCUGGGAUUAUAAAACCAUCAAGGAUGGCACUAUUAUUAGGUCCACCAUCGUCUGGGAAAACAACCCUGCUGCUAGCACUUGCCGGGAAGUUGGACUCAAAUCUAAAGACUACAGGAG
rnacentral:misc_RNA from 1 species